GUGGCAAUGGAAGGAUGGAGCUUGCUAGACUUCACCAAACUCCAACUCGGUUGCCCCGGCAGCUCCUUCUCCUCCUCUCCAACCCAGAAUGCCAACGGGGCGACAAACCAGCAGCAUGACCUCCUGGGAAAAGGCCUGAGUAAGUGAACACAGUUCCAUUCAAUUGAAAUAUACGAAAGCCAUCCUAUGGCGAUCCUCCAGGGUUUAUACUAAUAUAUAAUUCCCAGAAAUUAUUAGUUUAUAUUUAGAGAGAGAGAGAGAGAGAGAGAGACGAAGAAGAAGAAGAAGAAAGAAGAGAAGAAUAAGAGACCAAAGGAGACUUUUUUUUAAGGUAUCUUGAUGUCACAGAAAACUGCUAAGUCGUCGACCUCUGACAGUAACCCGCUUUUUUUGUCCAGAGAGGAAAAGAUCGCCAGGUAGUGUCGUCCCAAACGACAACGGGAGGCCCGUUCCGAGAAACAACGAAGAAGAGAACCACUAUGCUGGCAUCUCCACUGAGCUGGUCCUCUACGAGGACAAGUGUAAAAUCAAGAAGAAGCUAAAGAAAAGCGACCUCAGUGAUCGCUUGUCGCGGCUCAUGCUUUCGCGAGACUCCGUGGAGGCCCACGUGCUCCCGUUGAUGGACGAGGAGAUGAAGGAGCAAGUCAAGAGCAAGAAUGGAAUGAAGGUAGUCGUGAGGAAUGCGGACACACUUGAGGAGCACAAGCUCGUGUUCCGCCGCUGGGAGACCUCAGGGAGCUACGUGCUGAACUGUGGCUGGACCAAGCUGUUCGUCAAGGGGCGAGGGUUGGAGGAAAAGGACGAGAUCGGCAUGUUCUGGGACACGGACGAUCGCAAGUUCCACUUCACGGUCCAUCGCAAGGUUGGUCGUGGCACGAGCAACGCAGUGGCUUGAGCUUUCACUGGAAAGUUUUAGCGAAAGAAGUUUGUUCUCUAUAUUAUUCUUUUUCUGUUUUUCCAAUUUUGGUUUCUUUUAUGUGCUACGUUUUUAUGUUGUCAAGCCGACUUGCUGAUUAAGUCUUAGUUUAGUUCGUUUGCGGAAAUUGAGUUUUUUUUUUAGGAAUCUUGUUGUCAAUUAGACUUCGGCUUGAUUUGGAAUUGUACUACGGAUAUCCUCCGCCCAGAGUUAAUACAGAUCCUUGAUUUCUUUGAAUUACCUUGGGUAAAAAAAUAUUUUUCUGUAGCAAUAAUUCCGCCGAAACCCUGAAGGUGAAUCUUUCAAGUUCUAAUUUGCUGCAGUGAUGGAUUCUGGGACCAUAACGGGCCCCUAAAGCAGAAUCGUCAAAAGCGUCAUCCUGUAACCUACGGAGCCGACAUGUGCUCGCCUGCCCAAUAAGGAAGUGCAAGAAGAAUUGGGGAAUCUGAAUUUCUCGAAUUUUUUUAUUGAGUUCUCUUUUCUUUUCUUUCUUCUCUUUUUUUUCUUUUUAUAGGAUCGGAGACUCUCAUCAGACCUUGGUUAGAGCCUGCUGUGACCUACCUUUUCCAUCCUAGAAAGGAAAGGACAAUCAGUUUAGGGGCAUCACCUAAAAAAUAGGUUUACAACCCUCGUUUUAAGCAUGGGCUCUCCCAAAUCUAUGCCUCAUGUGGCAUUGGGUAUUCAAAUUAACACUAUAGGAAUUUUUAAAUAAUGAGUCGCCACUAUCUUAUUGGAUUCAGUUAGAAACCAAGUGAGACAUGGAAAUAUACCCCACUUCCUAUGCAACCAAAAAUAUAGGAUUGAGGACUUGAUUACGCUAAUUAAUCAACUAGUGCCAUUCCAGUAUUUAAAUCUUAUUCAUUCCAAAAACAUGUUUGUUAGGCAGUUUGAAUUGAUUUAAACACAUAUCCUAAUAUGUGAAGUAAUCAUGCGGGUGUAUAAUUAUUAAAAUAACAAUUAGUAACCAUUGAAAGUAUUAUGUAAAUUACAAGGAAACACAAGAAUCUAAUGCUAAGAUAUAAGAAAAAUGCCACUUCUAACUAGGUUAAAGGGAAACCACAAUCAAUAUAUUAAAAGUGUGGAAUUAAGAGCAUUCAUCUAAAAAAAAUAAAUUCAAACCAUAUUACAAAGUCUUAAGGAUUUGUUCAAUUUUGGGUAUGAUUUUCUUUUAUCAAAGAUUUUCACACAUGUUGAGAGAAAAAUACUAAAAAAUUAAUUUUUAAAGAAUUUUCCGAAGAUUUCUGAUUUUUAUGAUUUUUUAAUGAAUUUUCUAAUUUUAUUUAUUUAUGAAUUUUAUGAAUUUUAUGAAUUUUCUAAAUUUGUUAUGAUAUUCUUAAUUCGGAAAAUGGGCUGCGGACUGGCCCAGGUCGAAUUGGACUCUAAGGACGUAAGCCUAAAUGCUAGGUCCGGUCCAAAGGUGAUAACCAAAUUUGGGCAACACAAGGGCGCACGAUUAGUCCAAGCCCAUUUAAGUCAAAACCCAAAAUACUAAAAAUGAAACAAUCCCGAAUCACGCCAUGUGCAAAACCCAUUUAGCUAUCCUUUAUUUUUAUUUUUAUUUUUCUUUUGGUCGGAAAGGCUAACCCUUUUAGCCUUAUCCUUCACACCAUCGUUUCCUCCAAGCUAACCCAGAUUUCUAUUUUUUAUUAUUAUUUUAUGCCUCCACCCUUUUUGCAGGUCGUCUUCUUCCCUGCGAGACGUCUCCCCAAGGGCGUCCUUCUCUGCAGAGCCACCAGACGACGACGGGCUCUGACUGAACCUCACUACACAAGUUCACAACAGAAUCCUUACCAGUCCGACGUCGAUACCUGGCGUUGCCAACCGUCACUAAAUAUCCCCGUCAACUACCACUCCGGCCUUGAUCGAGUUAUUCCGAUCAGGAAAUUUCGAGCUUGAAAAUUGCACAAAACAGCAUGGAAAACGCAUAAAAGCAUACUAAAGAAGUGAAGAAUGAACCGACUUGGUCGCAUCAAGCCAUGGGCUUUACUGGCAGCGAAGGUUGAGAAUAGCGACUCUGAUGGGAUGGGCAUGAUAGGGCCAUCCUUUCAUCCGAAGGACUUAAACUUAAAGGAACCCUGUCGAUAGGGCUCUUACUCUAGUAGCUGCUAACAAAGAACCUGAAAUAGUUGAAAAAAAUGGAUGAACAACCACAAGUUCAGUGAAUAGAAUGCGUAUCUUCUAAAUAGAUUGAGCACUCAGUAUGCACUUUACACAAUAAAAUCACAAAUUAUUUGACCCAAAUCCAGAAUUUAAUAAACUCAUAAGAAGAGAAUGAAUGGCAAAUGCUUCAAUAUAACAGAUUUAUCAAUUUCACAAUAAUAUCAAAACAAAUAUCAAUGGUUAACUCCAUUAAUCAAUCUCAUCAAUUCACACACUAAUAAUCCAUUUCAUUAUCAUUGACAUCUCAUAUAAAACCACACAUUGAUGGUCCAUCAAUUGACUAGUCUUUUGCUCAUAUCAAAUCAUGGUCAUGACAUAAUGACUGGUAAUAAGGUAACCAAGAUUUCUCCCUUGGCAAGAUCUCCAUUUACAAAGCCGGUGGCUCCGGUUAGAUGGAUAUCUUAAACUUGAUAUGUAUACUUACAAGCCCUUCUUCUAUAGGCUCACAGUGAUAUUGAGUACUAAACCCAUACUCCAAUAUCCAGAAAUUCAAUCCAUAAUCAAUUUCAUAAACGAUCCAAUAACAUUUCAUAAUAUAAUCAUUCGUCAUUUCUCAACCGUCCUUUUAUAUAGCAGUUGCAAAGCAAUUGCCCCCUCUCCACACACUACUUCACAGUACUUUGCAUAACACACUUCUUAAACAUCCACAAAUAUCUAAAGAGUAGUAAAUGCUCGAUUCGACUUUUAUAAAACAAAAAUGUCAUUUUGUAGUUCAUACGAUAUACAUAAUUUGUAACAUUUUCGGAACAUGAAUUUUACAAAUUCAAAGAAGAUAUAUUACUACUUACCUCGUUACUCACGAUCAAACAAUAAAUUAUACUUAUAUUGUCGAACUUGCGACCCUAUCAAAUAAGUGAGAAAUAAUAUUAAAAUCAAGUAACAUGAUACCUCAACUACGAAAUGGUUAUACACGCCUAAAUGUUAAUGUUAAUAAAUCGUCCAUCCGAAGCAAUUAUUUGGAUUUAAAGUCAAUGUGGAACCCGCCCUUGAAACCCCAAAAUUUCGUUUCUCCAUGGCUCUACAACAACAUAAUCUUCAUCAAAUUCCAUGGCUCUACAACAACAUAAUCCACCAUUUUCAAGAUAUCUCGAAGCUCUAGAACUCAAGAAUCAAACUUUACGGCUUGAUUUUCACUCAACUUCGAAUUUGAGCCAUAAAUCCAUAAAUUACUUUGAUUGAAAGGAUGAGAAGCGCAAAUACUUACCGGUUACGUAGUUAAAUUGGCUUGGCGAGACUCCCUAAGCAUGUACGCGCAAAACCCUUUUCCCCUUUCUUCUUUCCUUUCUUUUGUUCCUCCUAUGCUUUCUCUCUGUUUUUUGUCGGUGGAGGGGGCUCUCAGUCUUCCAUUUUGCUGAGCGUCCUCGCUCUGCUUUUAUUGACUUUUCAAUCCAUUUUGUCUUCCUUUUUUUUUUUUUUUUAUAGGUCCCAUCACUUCUUUGACUUGGUCAAAGAGUCCAAGUUACAGGCUCCAAACUCGUGUCUGGCUCCAGUCGACUCCACCGAGGUCAGGGACGGCGAGAGCAGACGCCGGCAGGAGGUAGUCGGACGGAGAUGGUGGAGGUGACUGGUCGAGUGUUUCAGG
rnacentral:lncRNA from 1 species